UUCCAGCUCCAAUAGCGUAUAUUAAAGUUGUUGCGGUUAAAAAGCUCGUAGUCGAAUCUGUGUCCCGCGCCGCCGGUUCAUCGUCCGCGGUGUUAACUGGCGUGUCGCGGGACGUCCUGCCGGUGGGCUUAGCUCGCAAUGGCGGCCCAACUCAAUCCCGCCGCGGUGCUCUUAACUGAGUGUCGAGGUGGGCCGGCACGUUUACUUUGAACAAAUUAGAGUGCUUAAAGCAGGCUAAAACUUCGCCUGAAUACUGUGUGCAUGGAAUAAUGGAAUAGGACCUCGGUUCUAUUUUGUUGGUUUUCGGAACCCCGAGGUAAUGAUUAAUAGGAACGGAUGG
rnacentral:rRNA from 1 species